CAUGACCCAGCAGCCAAUCUAAAUAUCAUCCCAGAUAGAUGGGCGGGGCUUAGCCGUAGCAUCCAGGCAAGUGUUGUUGGAGAGCCGUUAUCAUCCAUAAAUGUUGUGGCUGACGACCAGUUAUGCUGUGGUUUGGACUAGUGCGAUUCUACUAGAGGACAACGGACAUUUGUGACCAUGACUGAGAAGUGACCGUGAAUAAGAGAGCACACAGAGCGCCUGCUGCUGUCAUAGGUGUCACAGACUGCUGCUGCGCUCUUUUCCUCCGGGUUUUGUGCCUGACGUGGUUUCCCCCGACACUAUGCCUGCUGCCAGUUUAUUCAUCAUAUACAGUACAUCCAGGAUUCCCUAAAACUUGUCGUGUCCUACCAUCAAAGCUGCCGUGCUGCAGGGCGUGAUCCAGGAGUCUGGCGUGGGUGUGGAGUGAUGGUUUGAAGACGAACACGCCAGAGUUGAAGCAGUCUGGCCAGCCGGGAUCAGGAGCUGCUGUCAGCUCGUCUCUCUCAAACAGCUCAUCCACGUUACACAGAACCUGAGAGGAAGCAGCCGAUUACAGUUUGAACAGUUCUCAGGCACCCACCUUGACUUCUGCGAGACAUUUGGAGUCACCAUGGCAACGAUGCUGCGAGUUGUCCCGUGACGUUGUAAG